rnacentral:lncRNA from 9 species
UGUAUACUUGCCUUCACCAUUGAAAAUCAAGUCCUGAUCUUUUGCCGAUACAGUUUGUACCAGUUUCUCUUUGGUUUUGCGAAGUAGGAGAUAAGAAAGUGGAUUAUGAAAUAAGAUUGCAAAAGCUCAGGUCAGACAUACCACUCUCCCUGGAGGUCUAUCCAGGCAUGAUUUCUCAGGGAUGGUGGAAAUAGCCUGGACUUUGUAUUUCUCUCUCUCUUGAUUCUCAGGGGACCCAGACACACUGAUGCAUCAACUGAAAACAGAGGUCUGCUAGAAACUCUCGUCUGGGCCUUUAUGUUGUCUUGUGGCCAGAAAGCUGUUUGCUGAGCUUUGCAGAUCACACAGUUUGUGGGAAAAAAAAAAAAAAAAAAGCUCUACCUCCCCGCGUGUACUUUGAUGAUGUAGACAGCAUGAAGCUGAAGAACUGCACCCAUCUCGAAGGUGGAAAUAGCUGCCAUGUCCAUGUGUGCAGAGUCGGUCCAGGCUGUCUUGGCACUGAGUGCCUCACUCCAGCCCCCGCACCUUCGCAGGUCUCUUGACAGGAGAGGCUGUUCUGUUCUGGCGUGUCUAAAAAUCCACUGUGUCAGCACUGAUUGUACCUUGCAAGCCAAUGUCACCUGCCGAGGCAGAAAAUAUCUCUGUGGAGACCCCACCUUGGAUCAAGGAAGCCAAGGGAAGAGAGGGUUUGGCAUGGAAGAUCCUGGACACGUUGGUUGAUGGGAAGAGGAAGGAGCUGUAGCUAAUCUGGAGCUUGUUUCUGGUCCCCCUGCCUGGGGAAAUGUGUGGCUGGAAGGAAGCUACUGCUUAACCUGUGGUGACAAAGACUUACCUGCGGGCAAGGGCAGGUGGAAAAAGAGACACUUUCGAGUGUAAUGGAGCAUUUACAGCUACAGGUGUUCUGUUUGCUGACUGUGCCUGGUCUCCCAGCCCCAGCUCUGCCAGGCCUGUAAGGAUGAACUGCCGCCUUCCUUUGUCCUCCUGGCCCGGUCCCUCAUACUGCUGACCUGCUAACAUGAAGCUGAGGUCUGAGCCUGCUCUUCCCAUGAGGUACGACUCUGUCUUGCUCACUCUUCCCCCUCUCUUGCGCUGCCAUCAAUGGCUUAGUCAGGAGCCAGACCACCUGGGUUCAAAUCCCACACCCCUGGGCCUGAGGGUGACCAAAGAGCAACUCUUGGGGGUGGGGGGAGGCUGGGUGUACUCUGAGGUCCCCACAGCACUGGGCGGAGGUGGGCCCACUCUGCUCCACUGUCGGGGAGCCGACUGAGGUCUGCCUGCUGUCGAUUUUCCUGGUUGGUUUCUUUAAUUCAUCCCACAUGUUUCCUCACUGGCUGGUGAAAGAAAACUCCAGUGUCAGGUUGCGCCUGAGACAGAGUCAGAGCAGCUUCCCCUGACAUCUCUGUGAUCCUGGGCAGAUGCAUGUCCAGGGCAGGGCAGCAUGACCACCAGGCCACGGCAAGUCUGUGUCAGAGUGAAGCGCAUGCGUGGGCUGAGGGGCUUGGAAAG